CCAACAUCUCAGCCGUAAAGCGAAGAAGAGCCGCACCAGAGAAAUAUCGAGAGAAGAGCAGCGCACCGUGUCACCGGCAUCCACAUAGCCAGUGCCAGCUCACUGUCUCUUUCUCUCUUUUUUCAUCGCUGCUACAGGCUUGGCUUGCGCGCGUAUGGCGAGUGCAAGCGCCAUGGGGCCGUCAUCGUCGGCGUCGCCGCCACGGCAUUGGGGGUCUGACCUGCUGCUCCGCAAGGUUCCGCUCUACGCUCAGGCGCGGCAGUACGCCGCCGUCGAUCCAGACGACCCGCAGUCAGAGGGCAACACGCUCGGCUACGGACCGAGCAGCUACCCGCUGCUAGCGGCGGUGCGUUCGUGCUACGACAUGCUGAAUCGUGACGAGGUUGCGGCUGAAACCUUUAGUCUGGGCGCGACCACCGCAGUGGUAGACCGCUCUCCCUUCAACGGCAUCGACAGAGCUGGAUACGCCCACGUACCGGCACAGCGCAAGUGGGCGGUCGCUGAUCCGCUAGCGGCGGAUUCAGCGUCGCCGAACUCGGAGCAGUCGACCGCCUUGGCUCGCCGCGCUGCUGCCGCCGCGCUGCUGGAUGACGCUAUCGGCCCCGCAACUCUGGCGCAGGUGCUGGAGCCGUGGUUCGGCGUUAUCGAAGAUCGACUGUGUGCUGGUGCGCAACAGCAGCAAGUCGAAGAGCUUGUGCGAUCAGAAAAUCAAAAGAGGGGAAAGGAGGCAGCCAAGCGGAGCAGCAGCGGCGCAGCUGAACCUCUGGAGGAUGUCGAGAAUGUGGAGAAUGGCGGUGUGAGAGUCGCGGACGCGGACGCAUCGCGCAUGCUGGGCCGCAAGCGCUUGUACGACCGGGAAGAAGAGACACACGGCGCUGUUUACACCCGGCUCGAGAGCGCCAUCCUGCAUUACAGUGCGGCAACACAAGAGGAGAAGGAAGUGCUGCGCAGCACGCGGGUAGCUAAUAGCGACUCUUCGGCGGAUGCGCCCGUCCCCGGCGAAGGCAGCACCGCAGCACCGCCGUCGCAGGAGACGUGGGGCAGUCGCAUGCUGUUACUCGUUACGUCGACCGUGGCUGCGGAGGCCGGAAGUGGUGCCGCGCGCCGCAGCGACGAGGAAGUCGAGCAGCAGCAGAAGGUGCUGGCCUACCUGAAGCGUGUGCGCUGGAUCGCCACACAGUGGAACAGCAACGCGAACCAGGUGGCAUUCAAGGACGCUGGGGCGUCGGCACCGUCGUGGGGCCAGAUGACAGAGGCGCAGCGCGUGAAGGCGGAGAUGCUGCACGCGCAGGGGCAGCGGCGCCGCUUUCGGCGUCCACGUCGCGGUGGCGAUGGUGGAGCUAGGGGUAACGGCGACGACGCCGACGCUGCCUUGGAGAACGAACUUGGUUCUGCGUGACUGCCUGUCCUCUUUUCUUUGUUUCACUUCGUACGACGGUGUCUCACGGCAGCAGGCGCCGAUGGGCUGCGGGACUAAUAGAGCGUGAGGUGUUUUCGGUCUCCACCUUUAUGAGGUCAGCUGUGCCGACCACUCACGCGCGCAGCGGUCCCAUGCGUAGCGAAAG
rnacentral:misc_RNA from 1 species